UACGUAGGCAGCAAGCGUUGUUCGGAGUUACUGGGCGUAAAGGGUGUGUAGGCGGUUGGAUAAGUGUGGUGUGAAAUCAGGGCUCAACCCUGUGGAAGCCAGUAAUACUAUUGAACUAGAGGACCGGAGGGGUUAACGGAAUGGCUCAUGUAGGGGUAAAAUCCACAAAUAUGAGUUAGAACACCAAUUGGCGAAGGCAGUUAACUAUUCGGUUCCUGACGUUGAGGCACGAAAGCGUGGGGAGCAAGACGG
rnacentral:rRNA from 1 species